UUAAGCGACUAAGCGUACACGGUGGAUGCCCUGGCAGUCAGAGGCGAUGAAGGACGUGCUAAUCUGCGAUAAGCGUCGGUAAGGUGAUAUGAACCGUUAUAACCGGCGAUUUCCGAAUGGGGAAACCCAGUGUGUUUCGACACACUAUCAUUAACUGAAUCCAUGGGUAAUGAGGCGAACCGGGGGAACUGAAACAUCUAAGUACCCCGAGGAAAAGAAAUCAACCGAGAUUCCCCCAGUAGCGGCGAGCGAACGGGGAGCAGCCCAGAGCCUGAAUCAGUGUGUGUGUUAGUGGAAGCGUCUGGAAAGGCGCGCGAUACAGGGUGACAGCCCCGUACACAAAAAUGCACAUGCUGUGAGCUCGAUGAGUAGGGCGGGACACGUGGUAUCCUGUCUGAAUAUGGGGGGACCAUCCUCCAAGGCUAAAUACUCCUGACUGACCGAUAGUGAACCAGUACCGUGAGGGAAAGGCGAAAAGAACCCCGGCGAGGGGAGUGAAAAAGACCUGAAACCGUGUACGUACAAGCAGUGGGAGCACGCUUAGGCGUGUGACUGCGUACCUUUUGUAUAAUGGGUCAGCGACUUAUAUUCUGUAGCAAGGUUAACCGAAUAGGGGAGCCGAAGGGAAACCGAGUCUUAACUGGGCGUUAAGUUGCAGGGUAUAGACCCGAAACCCGGUGAUCUAGCCAUGGGCAGGUUGAAGGUUGGGUAACACUAACUGGAGGACCGAACCGACUAAUGUUGAAAAAUUAGCGGAUGACUUGUGGCUGGGGGUGAAAGGCCAAUCAAACCGGGAGAUAGCUGGUUCUCCCCGAAAGCUAUUUAGGUAGCGCCUCGUGAAUUCAUCUCCGGGGGUAGAGCACUGUUUCGGCAAGGGGGUCAUCCCGACUUACCAACCCGAUGCAAACUGCGAAUACCGGAGAAUGUUAUCACGGGAGACACACGGCGGGUGCUAACGUCCGUCGUGAAGAGGGAAACAACCCAGACCGCCAGCUAAGGUCCCAAAGUCAUGGUUAAGUGGGAAACGAUGUGGGAAGGCCCAGACAGCCAGGAUGUUGGCUUAGAAGCAGCCAUCAUUUAAAGAAAGCGUAAUAGCUCACUGGUCGAGUCGGCCUGCGCGGAAGAUGUAACGGGGCUAAACCAUGCACCGAAGCUGCGGCAGCGACGCUUAUGCGUUGUUGGGUAGGGGAGCGUUCUGUAAGCCUGUGAAGGUGUGCUGUGAGGCAUGCUGGAGGUAUCAGAAGUGCGAAUGCUGACAUAAGUAACGAUAAAGCGGGUGAAAAGCCCGCUCGCCGGAAGACCAAGGGUUCCUGUCCAACGUUAAUCGGGGCAGGGUGAGUCGACCCCUAAGGCGAGGCCGAAAGGCGUAGUCGAUGGGAAACAGGUUAAUAUUCCUGUACUUGGUGUUACUGCGAAGGGGGGACGGAGAAGGCUAUGUUGGCCGGGCGACGGUUGUCCCGGUUUAAGCGUGUAGGCUGGUUUUCCAGGCAAAUCCGGAAAAUCAAGGCUGAGGCGUGAUGACGAGGCACUACGGUGCUGAAGCAACAAAUGCCCUGCUUCCAGGAAAAGCCUCUAAGCAUCAGGUAACAUCAAAUCGUACCCCAAACCGACACAGGUGGUCAGGUAGAGAAUACCAAGGCGCUUGAGAGAACUCGGGUGAAGGAACUAGGCAAAAUGGUGCCGUAACUUCGGGAGAAGGCACGCUGAUAUGUAGGUGAAGCGACUUGCUCGUGGAGCUGAAAUCAGUCGAAGAUACCAGCUGGCUGCAACUGUUUAUUAAAAACACAGCACUGUGCAAACACGAAAGUGGACGUAUACGGUGUGACGCCUGCCCGGUGCCGGAAGGUUAAUUGAUGGGGUCAGCGCAAGCGAAGCUCUUGAUCGAAGCCCCGGUAAACGGCGGCCGUAACUAUAACGGUCCUAAGGUAGCGAAAUUCCUUGUCGGGUAAGUUCCGACCUGCACGAAUGGCGUAAUGAUGGCCAGGCUGUCUCCACCCGAGACUCAGUGAAAUUGAACUCGCUGUGAAGAUGCAGUGUACCCGCGGCAAGACGGAAAGACCCCGUGAACCUUUACUAUAGCUUGACACUGAACAUUGAGCCUUGAUGUGUAGGAUAGGUGGGAGGCUUUGAAGUGUGGACGCCAGUCUGCAUGGAGCCGACCUUGAAAUACCACCCUUUAAUGUUUGAUGUUCUAACGUUGACCCGUAAUCCGGGUUGCGGACAGUGUCUGGUGGGUAGUUUGACUGGGGCGGUCUCCUCCUAAAGAGUAACGGAGGAGCACGAAGGUUGGCUAAUCCUGGUCGGACAUCAGGAGGUUAGUGCAAUGGCAUAAGCCAGCUUGACUGCGAGCGUGACGGCGCGAGCAGGUGCGAAAGCAGGUCAUAGUGAUCCGGUGGUUCUGAAUGGAAGGGCCAUCGCUCAACGGAUAAAAGGUACUCCGGGGAUAACAGGCUGAUACCGCCCAAGAGUUCAUAUCGACGGCGGUGUUUGGCACCUCGAUGUCGGCUCAUCACAUCCUGGGGCUGAAGUAGGUCCCAAGGGUAUGGCUGUUCGCCAUUUAAAGUGGUACGCGAGCUGGGUUUAGAACGUCGUGAGACAGUUCGGUCCCUAUCUGCCGUGGGCGCUGGAGAACUGAGGGGGGCUGCUCCUAGUACGAGAGGACCGGAGUGGACGCAUCACUGGUGUUCGGGUUGUCAUGCCAAUGGCACUGCCCGGUAGCUAAAUGCGGAAGAGAUAAGUGCUGAAAGCAUCUAAGCACGAAACUUGCCCCGAGAUGAGUUCUCCCUGACUCCUUGAGAGUCCUGAAGGAACGUUGAAGACGACGACGUUGAUAGGCCGGGUGUGUAAGCGCAGCGAUGCGUUGAGCUAACCGGUACUAAUGAACCGUGAGGCUUAACCUU
rnacentral:rRNA from 1 species